rnacentral:rRNA from 1 species
CCUACGGGGGGCAGCAGUGAGGAAUAUUGGUCAAUGGGCGCAAGCCUGAACCAGCCAAGUCGCGUGAGGGAAGACGGCCCUACGGGUUGUAAACCUCUUUUGCCGGGGAGCAAGCCUGAGCACGUGUGCCCAGCCGGAGGGUCCCCGGAGAAAAAGCUCCGGCUAAACCCGUGCCAGCGCCCGCGGUAAUCCGGAGGAUGCGAGCGUUAUCCGGUUUUUUUGGGUUUAAAGGGUGCGCAGGCGGGCUGUUAAGCCGGCGGUAAAAAUUCAGGGCUCAACCCUGGCGAGCCGUCGGAACUGGCAGGCUGGAGUGGGCGAGAAGUAUGCGGAAUGCGUGGUGUAGCGGUGAAAUGCAUAGAUAUCACGCAGAACGCCGAUUGCGAAGGCAGCAUACCGGCGCCCAACUGACGCUGAGGCACGAAAGCGUGGGGAUCGAACAGGAUUAGAUACCCGAGUAGUC